UUCCCCUAGUAACUGCGAGUGAGCGGGAAAAGCUCAAAUUUAAAAUCUGGCGGUCUUAGGCUGUCCGAGUUGUAAUCUAGAGAAGUGUUAUCCGCGCUGGACCGUGUACAAGUCUCCUGGAAUGGAGCGUCAUAGAGGGUGAGAAUCCCGUCUUUGACACGGACUACCAGGGCUUUGUGAUGCGCUCUCAAAGAGUCGAGUUGUUUGGGAAUGCAGCUCAAAAUGGGUGGUAAAUUCCAUCUAAAGCUAAAUAUUGGCGAGAGACCGAUAGCGAACAAGUACCGUGAGGGAAAGAUGAAAAGAACUUUGGAAAGAGAGUUAAACAGUACGUGAAAUUGCUGAAAGGGAAACGCUUGAAGUCAGUCGCGUUGGUCAGGGAUCAACCUUGCUUUUGCUGGGUGUACUUUCUGGUUAACGGGUCAACAUCAAUUUUGAUUGUUGGAAAAAGAUCAAGGGAAUGUGGCAUCUUCGGAUGUGUUAUAGCCUUUGGUUGUAUACAACAAUUGGGAUUGAGGAACUCAGCACGCCGAAAGGCCGGGUUUUAACCACGUUCGUGCUUAGGAUGUUGGCAUAAUGGCUUUAAUCGACCCGUCUUGAAACACGGACCAAGGAGUCUAACAUGCCUGCGAGUGUUUGGGUGGAAAACCCGAGCGCGUAAUGAAAGUGAAAGUUGAGAUCCCUGUCGCGGGGAGCAUCGACGCCCGGACCAGAAAUUUAUGGACGGUUCCGCGGUAGAGCAUGUAUGUUGGGACCCGAAAGAUGGUGAACUAUGCCUGAAUAGGGUGAAGCCAGAGGAAACUCUGGUGGAGGCUCGUAGCGAUUCUGACGUGCAAAUCGAUCGUCAAAUUUGGGUAUAGGGGCGAAAGACUAAUCGAACCAUCUAGUAGCUGGUUCCUGC
rnacentral:sRNA from 1 species